UACAUAUCUAACUAAAUUUGAUGCCUGAAAGGAGGCAACUUAAUCUCCGUGGUAAUGGGAAAACUAAUGAGAAGAAACUAUUUCUGAAAACAGUUUUUUCAUAAAUGCUGUAGUCAUCCAAGCACACCCUGACACUAAACAGGAUUCCCAAUGAGAUACAGCUCUGGAGGACAGCAAGAAAAGGACACUUCAGCAACAUCUAGCAUGCUCAUCUCCCCAGGUUCCCUAAAUAAGAUCACAAAAAAGCAGGAUAAAAAUCAGAUGGAGUCCAUACAGGUUUAGGAGAUGGAAGUGAUUUCUCUUCCAUGUUGAAGCACUAUGGACACAAAGACU